CCUACGGGAGGCUGCAGUGGGGAAUAUUGCACAAUGGGGGAAACCCUGAUGCAGCGACGCCGCGUGAGUGAGGAAGUAUUUCGGUAUGUAAAGCUCUAUCAGCAGGGAAGAAAAUGACGGUACCUGACUAAGAAGCCCCGGCUAACUACGUGCCAGCAGCCGCGGUAAUACGUAGGGGGCAAGCGUUAUCCGGAUUUACUGGGUGUAAAGGGAGCGUAGACGGAAUAGCAAGUCUGAUGUGAAAACCCGGGGCUCAACUCCGGGAGUGCAUUGGAAACUGUUGAUCUAGAGUGUCGGAGAGGCAAGCGGAAUUCCUAGUGUAGCGGUGAAAUGCGUAGAUAUUAGGAGGAACACCAGUGGCGAAGGCGGCUUGUUGGACGAUGACUGACGUUGAGGCUCGAAAGCGUGGGUAUCGAACAGGAUUAGAUACCCGUGUAGUC
rnacentral:rRNA from 1 species